GAUGAACGCUGGCGGCGUGCCUAAUACAUGCAAGUCGAGCGAACAGACGAGGAGCUUGCUCCUCUGACGUUAGCGGCGGACGGGUGAGUAACACGUGGAUAACCUACCUAUAAGACUGGGAUAACUUCGGGAGACCGGAGCUAAUACCGGAUAAUAUAUUGAACCGCAUGGUUCAAUAGUGAAAGACGGUUUUGCUGUCACUUAUAGAUGGAUCCGCGCCGCAUUAGCUAGUUGGUAAGGUAACGGCUUACCAAGGCAACGAUGCGUAGCCGACCUGAGAGGGUGAUCGGCCACACUGGAACUGAGACACGGUCCAGACUCCUACGGGAGGCAGCAGUAGGGAAUCUUCCGCAAUGGGCGAAAGCCUGACGGAGCAACGCCGCGUGAGUGAUGAAGGGCUUCGGAUCGUAAAACUCUGUUAUUAGGGAAGAACAAAUGUGUAAGUAACUAUGCACGUCUUGACGGUACCGAAUCAGAAAGCCACGGCUAACUACGU
rnacentral:rRNA from 1 species